UUUCCAGUCAUGCAACGGCAAGUGCAAAUCAUCCCAUAUCAAGGUCAUAUUACUUAUCUAUGUUUGAAAUAUACUCUGAACGAGGGAAAGGAGAGAGGAUUUUUGACUUGUCUCCGGAUGGAGGUGAUUUAUCGUUUCAGCAGUCAGCAAUAAAAGGUCUUCAAGAGAUCAGGAUUUCAGAUGCAACUGAGGCAGAGAGUCUAGUUGUACGUUGCCUGCUGAAACGUGCUACAGCUGCAAC